rnacentral:lncRNA from 1 species
GCUCUCUCAAAUGUCUCCUGGUUCUUUGCUUUAUUCUUUCUUUCACAAUGGUCAUUAACUGAGCACCUACUGCGUACCAGUCUCCACUGUGUGUCUGAUUUCUCAGCCUCACUCUGGGGAACUCCGGCUUCAAGAACAACGUCUGCCAGGCGUGGUGGCACACACCUGUCAUCCCAGCACUCGGGAGGCUGAGGCAGGAGGAUGGCCAUGAGUUCCAGGCCAGCCCAGGAUACAUACUGGAACAAAAAAACCCUCCAAGUCUUGGCUCCCUGGAAGAUGAGGGGAACAGAAUUCUGGAAGGUUCUAGAAGAUUUUGGAAGGCUCUGGAAGGUUCAGAUCUGGUACAGUAUCAUCCAUGUACAUCAAUUGGGGACUCAGUAUUUGUAGGUAUUGGGAUGACAAGAAAGUAUGGGGUACAGCCAGGCAUGGUGGCUCAUUCGUGUAAUCCUAGCAGCCUGGGAGUCUAAGGCAAGAGGACUGUAAGUUCAAGUCCAGACUGGACAAAUUAGUGACUUAGUGAGACCCUGUCUCAAAGGGGCUGUGGAUGGAGCUCAGGGCGAAGGUCCUGGGUUCAAUCCUCAGUAGUACAGAAAGAGGGGGUGGGCCAAGAUCUCUGCCCUUAUAUGAAAAAUAAAAC